GACGAACGCUGGCGGCGUGCUUAACACAUGCAAGUCGAACGGUAAGGCCCUUCGGGGUACACGAGUGGCGAACGGGUGAGUAACACGUGGGUGAUCUGCCCUGCACUUCGGGAUAAGCCUGGGAAACUGGGUCUAAUACCGGAUAGGACUCCUGGCUUCAUGGUGGGGGGUGGAAAGCUUUUGCGGGGUGGGAUGGGCCCGCGGCCUAUCAGCUUGUUGGUGGGGUAAUGGCCUACCAAGGCGACGACGGGUAGCCGGCCUGAGAGGGUGACCGGUCACACUGGGACUGAGAGACGGCCCAGACUCCUACGGGAGGCAGCAGUGGGGAAUAUUGCACAAUGGGCGCAAGCCUGAUGCAGCGACGCCGCGUGAGGGAUGACGGCCUUCGGGUUGUAAACCUCUUUCAGCUAUGACGAAGCGCAAGUGACGGUAGUAGCAGAAGAAGGACCGGCCAACUACGUGCCAGCCGCCGCAGUAA
rnacentral:rRNA from 1 species